GCCGGGCGUGGUGGCGCGCGCCUGUAGUCCCAGCUACUCGGGAGGCUGAGGCUGGAGGAUCGCUUGAGCUCAGGAGUUCUGGGCUGCAGUGCGCUAUGCCGAUCGGGUGUCCGCACUAAGUUCGGCAUCAAUAUGGUGACCUCCCGGGAGCGGGGGACCACCAGGUUGCCUAAGGAGGGGUGAACCGGCCCAGGUCGGAAACGGAGCAGGUCAAAACUCCCGUGCUGAUCAGUAGUGGGAUCGCGCCUGUGAAUAGCCACUGUACUCCAGCCUGGGCAACAUAGCGAGACCCCGUCUCUU
ensembl:misc_RNA Metazoa_SRP Metazoan signal recognition particle RNA